GGAGAGAUGUCCGAGUGGUUUAAGGAGCCGGUCUUGAAAACCGGUGAUUCCGAAAGGGACCGUGGGUUCGAAUCCCACUCUCUCCGCCA
rnacentral:tRNA from 1 species